AUUAAGAUGUUAGAUGCUAAAGCUGUGGAAGAGAAAGAAGCAGCAGCAAAGGCAUUGUCAAAUCUUGUAUUAUAUGCAGGCAACAGGAGGAUUUUCAGAAAGGAUGAGAUGGGGAUAGUGAGUGCAGUUCCGCUAUUAGAUCCUUUGAUACAGAAUUUGGAUAAGAAAUACCCUGUUUCAUUAUUGGCCUCGCUUGUGCAUUCUAAAAAGUGUAGAAAACAGAUGAUCGCUGCUGG
rnacentral:misc_RNA from 1 species